CACAGUAAGACACUAGGAAUUUGCAGACAGAAGCAGACAUACAGGACAGGAGAUGUGGCAAGGCAGGCACAGUGGACAGGAGACAGAGAGAGGGAGAAAAAAAGAGAUUAAAUUGAAUUAAGACAGAAAGAAAGAGGGACAGGGAGAGCGAAGUCGGAGAGUGAUAGGUGGGAAAGCAAGGGGGGGGGGGCGGUGUAGUGUAGGGGAUUUAUCCUGCUGGUCGUUGAUUCAAGUCUGCUGAGUGUUGUACCUCACGCUCUCCCUCCCUACUGCCUCUGACCCUCCCCCCCCCUCAUCCCUCCUCCCUCCCUCCUCCCUGCCCCCUCUCUCCCUCCUCUCUCCCUCCUCUCUCCCCCACUCCUACCAAAGCCUGGGGGAGCCAGAGGAGAUUAGAUGUAGCCUCUAUAAGCCAAGCACAUCAUGUAGCUAUGUUUCUCUGCUCUCUCUCUCCCUCCUCUUUCUCUCUCUUACUGUCUCUGUUUAUCAAUCGCUCUCUCUCUCUCGUUCGUUCUCUUUUUGAAGUAUAGUGUUAAUGAUGUCGGGCAUGUGUCAGGGAGAGAGGGAGGGAGGGAGGGAAGGAAGGACAGAGCGAGAGGGAAAACGAGAGACAGCCCACGUUGAGAGGAAGACAAGCACCCAAAAGAGAGAACAGGGGAAAUAAAAUACCAGCAAGGUGGAAAAGAAACCAGCGACUCUCCCUCUUUCUCUCUUUCUCUCUCUCUUUCUCUCUCUCUCUCUCUCUCUCUCUCUCUCUCUCUCUCUCUCUCUCUCUCUCUCCUCCUUCUCCCUCUCUCCUCCUCUUCUUCCCCACCUCUCUCAGUAUCUCCAGAUGAUACAGCACAGACUGGGCCUCUUGCUGUAAGUGAUCACAGCUGUGUCACAGCUUACUAACGGAGGAGAUUCUUCAGGUUUAUUUUUUCGGGCAACUUUUUUUCCUCUCGUUCCAAUCAACAUGGAUGCAUAAAGGACUGCAGGGAGCAUGCGCGCACGAGAGAGAUUGAACGAGAGGGAGAGAAGAAGAGAGCGAGCGAGAAAGAAAGAGAGAGAGUCAGGAGAGGGCUGACUGGCUGGAGGUUCUACAUUCAGUCGCAUGUUUUUGAUCAGUACAGAGAAAGAGAGGGAGAGGGAAGGAGAGAUGAGUAGACAGAGGAAGAAGAGGGGAAAGGCAGAGAGAAGGAGAAAGGGAGGAAGAACACAAAUGAAAGUGAAGCGGCAGGACAAGGAGCAUCACCUCAUUCUGUCAUUUUCUAACGGGGAUUUAUACCUUUCUGCCCGGCAACCCUUCCACCUUUUUACCCGGCGACCCCUCCACCCCUCCUUCUCUCCUCCUCUCCACAUCUCUACCUUUCCACCUCAGCACUGGGGCUAAACUGGAGCGGAGUCUGGGUUUGACACACAUGGAGUCAUUGCAUGGGUUAACAGCGCAGAGACACAGCUGCGUGUAAGCCAAUGCCAGUGGUUCAGCUGUGUCCCAGACCCUGCCCUGAGAAGCUGAGGGAGGAUCAAAGGGAGAUGAAAAGCAGUGGAUGGAGAGGAAGACAAUGAGGCGGAGGAGGAAAAGAGGAAGAUGAGGACGAGGAGAGGGAGGAGGAUGCAUACCACCCAGGGAGCCUGUUAUCCCCAAUAUCCUCCUGUGCUUGGUAAUAGUGGGUUUCAGAUCUAUGAAGCAACAAUGAGAUUAAGCUUUGAUUAGAUGAAGGGCCCUUUGAUUCACUCCACACUGGACUCGACGCACAAACGCCGUUGCCAGGAAAUGGAAACUUACAGGUAUUUAGAGAAAGACAGAAGGGAGAUAGACUGAGAGCUGUUUCGAGAAAUGUCCAGAGAGACGGAAAGAAGAGCCAGACGUAGCAUAGAGACUCUGUGCCUCACUCCGUCCCUGAGACCCUAACUUGUGACGCUGUCAUGUCCACGGGUUGGGCUCUCGGGAGCAGGGAGGGGCGCUCUGUCCCAGUCCAACACUCUUAAACACUGCACAGGAUAAGAGAGACACAAUGAAAGGAGGGAGAGGAGAGACAGAGAAUAAGGGAGAGAGAGAGAGAGAGAGAGAGAGAGAGAGAG